UUAAGCGACCAAGCGUACACGGUGGAUGCCCUGGCAGUCAGAGGCGAUGAAGGACGUGCUAAUCUGCGAAAAGCGCCGGUAAGGUGAUAUGAACCGUUAUAACCGGCGAUGUCCGAAUGGGGAAACCCAGUGUGACUCGUCACACUAUCAUUAACUGAAUCCAUAGGUUAAUGAGGCGAACCGGGGGAACUGAAACAUCUAAGUACCCCGAGGAAAAGAAAUCAACCGAGAUUCCCCCAGUAGCGGCGAGCGAACGGGGAGGAGCCCAGAGCCUGAAUCAGCAUGUGUGUUAGUGGAAGCGUCUGGAAAGGCGCGCGAUACAGGGUGACAGCCCCGUACACAAAAGCGCAUGUGCUGUGAGCUCGAUGAGUAGGGCGGGACACGUGGUAUCCUGUCUGAAUAUGGGGGGACCAUCCUCCAAGGCUAAAUACUCCUGACUGACCGAUAGUGAACCAGUACCGUGAGGGAAAGGCGAAAAGAACCCCGGCGAGGGGAGUGAAAAAGAACCUGAAACCGUGUACGUACAAGCAGUGGGAGCCCCACCACUAAGCCAGUGGUGAAUUCCACAUACGCAUCCUUUGCUGAGGAUACGGUUAACGGAGCGAAAGCGACGUUCAACCGCAAAACAAGCAGAGGGGGCUUAGUGGUGGGGUGACUGCGUACCUUUUGUAUAAUGGGUCAGCGACUUAUAUUCUGUAGCAAGGUUAACCGAAUAGGGGAGCCGGAGGGAAACCGAGUCUUAACCGGGCGUUAAGUUGCAGGGUAUAGACCCGAAACCCGGUGAUCUAGCCAUGGGCAGGUUGAAGGUUGGGUAACACUAACUGGAGGACCGAACCGACUAAUGUUGAAAAAUUAGCGGAUGACCUGUGGCUGGGGGUGAAAGGCCAAUCAAACCGGGAGAUAGCUGGUUCUCCCCGAAAGCUAUUUAGGUAGCGCCUCGUGAAUUCAUCUCCGGGGGUAGAGCACUGUUUCGGCCAGGGGGCCAUCCCGGCUUACCAACCCGAUGCAAACUGCGAAUACCGGAGAAUGUUAUCACGGGAGACACACGGCGGGUGCUAACGUCCGUCGUGAAGAGGGAAACAACCCAGACCGCCAGCUAAGGUCCCAAAGUCAUGGUUAAGUGGGAAACGAUGUGGGAAGGCCCAGACAGCCAGGAUGUUGGCUUAGAAGCAGCCAUCAUUUAAAGAAAGCGUAAUAGCUCACUGGUCGAGUCGGCCUGCGCGGAAGAUGUAACGGGGCUAAACCAUGCACCGAAGCUGCGGCAGCGACACUAAGUGUUGUUGGGUAGGGGAGCGUUCUGUAAGCCUGCGAAGGUGGCCUGUGAGGGUUGCUGGAGGUAUCAGAAGUGCGAAUGCUGACAUAAGUAACGAUAAUGCGGGUGAAAAACCCGCACGCCGGAAGACCAAGGGUUCCUGUCCAACGUUAAUCGGGGCAGGGUGAGUCGACCCCUAAGGCGAGGCCGAAAGGCGUAGUCGAUGGGAAACAGGUUAAUAUUCCUGUACCUGGUGUUACUGCGAAGGGGGGACGGAGAAGGCUAUGUUGGCCGGGCGACGGUUGUCCCGGUUUAAGCGUGUAGGCUGGUUUUCCAGGCAAAUCCGGAAAAUCAAGGCUGAGGCGUGACGACGAGGCACUACGGUGCUGAAGCAACAAAUGCCCUGCUUCCAGGAAAAGCCUCUAAGCCUCAGGUAACAUCAGAUCGUACCCGAAACCGACACAGGUGGUCAGGUAGAGAAUACCAAGGCGCUUGAGAGAACCCGGGUGAAGGAACUAGGCAAAAUGGUGCCGUAACUUCGGGAGAAGGCACGCUGACACGUAGGUGAAGCGGUUUACCCGUGGAGCUGAAGUCAGUCGAAGAUACCAGCUGGCUGCAACUGUUUAUUAAAAACACAGCACUGUGCAAACACGAAAGUGGACGUAUACGGUGUGACGCCUGCCCGGUGCCGGAAGGUUAAUUGAUGGGGUCAGCGCAAGCGAAGCUCCUGAUCGAAGCCCCGGUAAACGGCGGCCGUAACUAUAACGGUCCUAAGGUAGCGAAAUUCCUUGUCGGGUAAGUUCCGACCUGCACGAAUGGCGUAAUGAUGGCCAGGCUGUCUCCACCCGGGACUCAGUGAAAUUGAACUCGCUGUGAAGAUGCAGUGUACCCGCGGCAAGACGGAAAGACCCCGUGAACCUUUACUAUAGCUUGACACUGAACACUGGUCCUUGAUGUGCAGGAUAGGUGGGAGGCUUUGAAGUGUGGACGCCAGUCUGCAUGGAGCCGUCCUUGAAAUACCACCCUUUAAUGGCUGGUGUUCUAACGUAGACCCGUGAACCGGGUUGCGGACAGUGUCUGGUGGGUAGUUUGACUGGGGCGGUCUCCUCCUAAAGCGUAACGGAGGAGCACGAAGGUUGGCUAAUCCUGGUCGGACAUCAGGAGGUUAGUGCAAUGGCAUAAGCCAGCUUGACUGCGAGCGUGACGGCGCGAGCAGGUGCGAAAGCAGGUCAUAGUGAUCCGGUGGUUCUGAAUGGAAGGGCCAUCGCUCAACGGAUAAAAGGUACUCCGGGGAUAACAGGCUGAUACCGCCCAAGAGUUCAUAUCGACGGCGGUGUUUGGCACCUCGAUGUCGGCUCAUCACAUCCUGGGGCUGAAGUAGGUCCCAAGGGUAUGGCUGUUCGCCAUUUAAAGUGGUACGCGAGCUGGGUUUAGAACGUCGUGAGACAGUUCGGUCCCUAUCUGCCGUGGGCGCUGGAGAACUGAGGGGGGCUGCUCCUAGUACGAGAGGACCGGAGUGGACGCAUCACUGGUGUUCGGGUUGUCAUGCCAAUGGCACUGCCCGGUAGCUAAAUGCGGAAGAGAUAAGUGCUGAAAGCAUCUAAGCACGAAACUUGCCCCGAGAUGAGUUCUCCCUGAGACUACAAGUCUCCUGAAGGAACGUUGAAGACGACGACGUUGAUAGGCCGGGUGUGUAAGCGCAGCGAUGCGUUGAGCUAACCGGUACUAAUGAACCGUGAGGCUUAACCUU
rnacentral:rRNA from 1 species